CAGGUGAGGCCGGAUUCUGGGCUGUGUCCCGGCGCCCUGUGCUCCCGGUCAGCGCUGUUGGAUUUGCGCUCCUGGCCGGGAAGCCCCCC
rnacentral:pre_miRNA from 1 species